rnacentral:rRNA from 1 species
AUUGAACGCUGGCGGCAGGCCUAACACAUGCAAGUCGAACGAGUGGCGGACGGGUGAGUAAUGGCUGGGAAACUGCCCGUUGGAGGGGGAUAACUACUGGAAAAGGUAGCUAAUACCGCAUACCAUCGGAUGUGCCCAGAGGGGAAUAGCUAGUAGGUGGGGUAACGGCUCACCUAGGGGACGAUCCCUCGCUGGUCUGAGAGGAUGACCCGCCACACUGGGACUGAGACACGGCCCAGACUCCUACGGGAGGCAGCAGUGGGGAAUAUUGCACAAUGGGCGAAAGCCUGAUGCAGCCAUGCCGCGUGUAUGAAGAAGGUCUUCGGGUUGUAAAGUACUUUCAGCGAGGAGGCGUUACUCGCAGAAGAAGCACCGGCUAACUCCGUGCCAGCAGCCGCGGUAAUAC